CUACGGGAGGCAGCAGUAGAGAAUCUUUCGCAAUGGGGGAAACCCUGACGGAGCAACACCGCGUGACUGAUGACGGCCUUCGGGUUGUAAAGGUCUUUUCUGAGGGAAUAAUUCUGAAUGUACCUUAGGAAUAAGCACCGGCUAAUUCCGUGCCAGCAGCCGCGGUAAUACGGAAGGUGCAAGCGUUAUCCGGAAUUAUUGGGCGUAAAGCGUCCGUAGGCGGUGAACUAAGUCUGAUGUUAAAUCCAAGGGCUCAACUCUUGGUUCGUAUCUGAUACUGGUUCACUAGAGUCUUGUAGAGGUGCGUGGAAUUCUGUGUGUAGGGGUAAAAUCCGUAGAUACACAGAGGAACACCAAAAGCGAAGGCAGCGCACUGGGCAAGUACUGACGCUGAGGGACGAAAGCGUGGGGAGCGAACGGGAUUAGAUACCCGAGUAGUC
rnacentral:rRNA from 1 species